UGGCAAGGUCACUAACCAUCCCACUCUCCUAUGGUCUUAAUUAACACACUAAUUACCACUUAAACCCUACUAUAAUAACUACCUAUGGCACUAAUUAUCCCCCAAACUAACAAGCACUAAUGACUUUCUUAAAACCUUACUAAUUACAUGGCCAGGUCACUCACCAACCCACUCCCCUAUGGUCUUAAUUAACACUUACACUAAUUACCACUUAAAUCCUUCUCUAAUAAUUUCCUAUGGCACUAAUUAUCCCCCAAACUAACAAGCACUAAUUACUUUCUUAAAAUCUUACUAAUUACAUGGCCAGGUCACUCACCAGCCCACUCCCCUAUGGUCUUAAUUAACACUUACACUAAUUAC